AGGAGAUGGAGGAACGCGAGGAAGAACCCGAAGAAGGCGAAGAGGAAAUUAGAGAAAUACUGACUGGACUUCCUCCCAGUCUUAUUCUCUACGCGAGAAGGAGCCGGCGAUAAAAGGCGUUAUCUCAGAAAAAUAUAAGCGAACAUCGAAGAGCCGCAGCGUGGAGGAGGACUUGCUGCUCAGGAAAAUUUGGAGGAGGGGGAGGUG